rnacentral:sRNA from 1 species
CUGAAUUUCACUCGUAACUGUCAUCAGCAAGUGAAAAGAAGGGGCAGGCAUGGGCACUUGCAUUCCUCCAAGACUGGGGUUUACAAGGAAGCAAUCUCAGAAUAAAACUAAGAAGGAUGCUGGCCCAUGCUACAAUGAAGUAGGCUGUGCAUUCCUAGGGGUUGGGCCUCCAGGACACCCUCUGGACCACAGGUCUCAGUUUCAGCAACAAUUCUGCCAAACACUGGAAGAGAGGAAGCAAGAUGGGAUGUGUCAGAGCCACUGUGCAGAAAAGCAGGCUUGUCUGAAGCAGAGAUUGCUGCUACCAAGUCAGCUUGCAGAGACAGCUGCCUCUGCUACAGUAGAUCGUGACUACCUGGCCCGUCUGCGGUGGCGGUCCCAAAGGGCAGGGCCUGGCACUGCCUGGCAAUGACUGCCUGAGGUAUUUGGUAUGAAAAGAAUGUGUCUGCUGCGAAAAAUAGGGUCUGAGUGUGUGAGAUUGGACACAUUUGGAAUCACCAUGUUGGAGGAGGAAGCCAAACAUGAAAGGAGGAAGUACCAGAAUUGACAGGAUCUCUGAAGAGAUGAGUGGUUCAGACGGUGAGCUAAUAUUCUGGGGUAUGUAUAUCAUGGAGAGGCGUGUGAGCCAUGUAGGUGUGAAUACAUGGGGAGACAGGUCAAUGCCUUCUUCAUCAGUCUUUAUUUUUUUGAGAUAGGGUCUCUCACUUAACCUGGACCUCACCCACUCUGCUAGAUUCGUUGGCUAGCAAGCCCUGAAUGCUUAUGGAAGCUGGAUUCCCAGCUCUGGGAUCAUAGGUGUGCAGUGUCAUACCCGGGUUUUAUGUAAGUACUAAGGAUCACACUUCGGUCCUCAUACUUAAGCAGCAAGACGGCCUGAGCCAUCUCUUCCACUGCUGAUGAUCUAAGAUCUUAGUGGGUCACUCAGCAGAGUUCUGGUGGGAGCAAAGAGAGUCUGCAAGUGGAGCUGGACAGGGGAGCCGGAGGAGAUGGACUGAAAGAGCACACCCUCCUGAACCUUUUGUUGAAGAAGUUGUCUAUCAGUUCUGGAACUUGGUACCCAGCCUGCCACAUAGAUAUCAUUCACAAAUACUCUUUAUUCUCUCUUCUUUUAAAAUGUCAUUUCUUUCUUCUUUUACUGUGGAGGUCACAAGUGCCGCAGUACACAUGCAGAGGUCGACUAUAUCUCUCCAGGGUCAAAAUAAAAACCCUGGUAAUCACUGAACUGAGAACGGGACCCCCGUUGAAGGAAUCAGAGAAAGGACUGGAAGAGCUUGAA